rnacentral:rRNA from 1 species
UACGCUUCAUAUUUGUCUAUGAAGGAAAGGGGGCCUCUGCAUAUGCUUCCGCUUUUCGAUGAGUCCGCGUCCCAUUAGCUAGUUGGUGAGGUAACGGCCCACCAAGGCGACGAUGGGUAGCUGGUCUAAGAGGAUGAUCAGCCACAUUGGAACUGGAACACGGUCCAAACUCCUACGGGAGGCAGCAGUGGGGAAUAUUGCGCAAUGGGCGAAAGCCUGACGCAGCGACGCCGCGUGAGGGAUGAAGGUCUUCGGAUCGUAAACCUCUGUCAGAAGGGAAGAAUAAGCAUUGUGCUAAUCAGCAAUGCCCUGACGGUACCUUCAAAGGAAGCACCGGCUAACUCCGUGCCAGCAGCCGCGGUAAUACGGAGGGUGCAAGCGUUAAUCGGAAUUACUGGGCGUAAAGCGCGUGUAGGCUGUAUGGCAAGUUGGAGGUGAAAUCCCACGGCUCAACCGUGGAACUGCCUUCAAAACUACCAAACUGGAGUGCGAGAGAGGAUAGCGGAAUUCCAGGUGUAGGAGUGAAAUCCGUAGAUAUCUGGAAGAACAUCAGUGGCGAAGGCGGCUAUCUGGCUCGUAACUGACGCUGAGAUGCGAAAGCGUGGGUAGCAAACAGGAUUAGAUACCCUGGUAGUCCACGCUGUAAACGAUGGAUACUAGUUGUCGGGUUGUAUGACUCGGUGACGCAGCUAACGCAAUAAGUAUCCCGCCUGGGGAGUACGGUCGCAAGGCUGAAACUCAAAGAAAUUGACGGGGGCCCGCACAAGCGGUGGAGUAUGUGGUUUA